rnacentral:rRNA from 1 species
UACGUAGGGGGCAAGCGUUGUCCGGAAUCAUUGGGCGUAAAGCGCGUGUAGGCGGCUGAGUAAGUCUGCUCUGAAAGCCCGGGGCCGUCAACCCCGGGACGGCGGGUGGAUACUGCUCAGCUCGAGUCCGGAAGAGGAGUGUGGAAUUCCUGGUGUAGCGGUGGAAUGCGCAGAUAUCAGGAGGAACACCGGUGGCGAAGGCGGGUCUCUGGGCAGUAACUGACGCUGAGGAGCGAAAGCGUGGGGAGCGAACAGG